rnacentral:lncRNA from 1 species
UUGAUUUCCGUGUGGGAGCUUGGAUUUUAGCAGCUGUUUUUUCUUCUCAAGUGUGUCGCCAAAUCUUCUUCUGCUUGUAAUCGCUUCCAAACAUAUUUAAUUGAAAGAAAUCUAAGGUUCAACUUCUCCUCUUUUCUUCAGUUAUGUUUAAAGGCUCGAUUCAAAUAUGAAUAGAACCAGGGAUUUAGUAGGGUUCGAGGAUGUUUAAUUCUUGUUCGUUUAAGAUUCAGUAUGGAUUUGUGAUAUUAACUUAUGAAGCUCGAAUUUGUUUGUGAGUCUUAUGAUUGCUGCGCUUUUUAUGAACAUUUCAACUUGUUCGAUUGAAUUGGAACUCGGAAAAAUGAACUCUAAAAUCAUUCUUUGAUGUCCUCUGUCGCAUUCUUGCAUAUGUUCAUAUUAUUUCUUUGUUUACAAAUGAAAGAUAAUUUCAAGCAGCCCUAUACUCGAUACUUAUUUGAUCUUUUGGCUAUUUGCUUGAAUUUAGGUGUCAACUGAGUUCUUUGAAAUUGUUCUCUGGUGUUAUCUGCCCGUCAUUGGUUUGGUUGGCUUCGUUUAUAUCCUAAGAACUGUACGAAUCUUCGAAUCUUAAUCAAGUCAAUCCCAGUGGUUUGUAUAUUUUUAAUUCCUCAUUCGAUCAUGAUCUCUCUGAUGUCACAAUUUGAUUUGGACCUGAAUAAUCCCCUGCCCUGUUUCUUCUCCAUGACUGGCUGACAAUCACUCCCUUUCUCUUGGUUUGAAUCUGCCAGUUAGCAAGAUUAGAUUAGUGUGGUGCAUAUUUUCUGCUUUUCGAGUCCAAGUCAUGAAUUUACUGAACAAUUGUUGGUUGUUCUCCUGUGUGAAAGACUGAGAAUGAAUGUGAACAUUAGCCAUCCGACAUCAAUUCCAUGUGUUUGUUAUGUUCUGCCUUGAGAUUAUAAUGCAAUUUGAAGGAUCAUUUCAUGAAUUUUCUGCUGAAUCUUUAUUUGUGUGUAUUUGCGAGUUUAAGCUAGGAUUUGCUUUUAAAAAUUGAAAUCUGGUAUUAUUGAAUUCAGUACCUUCAAUCAUGUUGCUAUUGUGACACGAACACAACCAACCUUAGAAAGUGAAUACAUGCUUUAGUCCAUUCAUCUUGUACAAGCUGCCUCACACAUUCACACUCAUGUUUCAUUUGUUGCAGUUAAAUAAUCUUCAACACACCUCUCUUUCUCAAUGCUUCUUUUUCUUUUUGUUGCCUCAUUGAAUUUUUACUAGGCUUCUGGUAGAAGUUUGAGUAGCUCAAGGUUAUCUUGUAAAUGCUAAUUUGUCACUUUCAUGGAAAGCACUCGUAUUUGUGAUGAUAAAUUGCGGUGUGCAUUGUAGCAUAAGAUGAGUUUAAUUGUGAUGAUAUUGACAAUGAAUAAGUGUAAGUUGCCAAUAAUGUAAUGCGUGGUUAUGUUAAUUUGGUUUUUUUUAAAACUGCCUGGAAGCUUCAGCUGUUGCAGUAAUUUAGAAAAAUGAUCUUCCUUGUAUGUUUGGAUGGAGUCAGUGUUUGAUUCUGCUAAUCCAUUUUCAACAUAACUCUUUGCAAUGACUAGUUUUUUUAGAAAUUCAAAUGAUGGUUUCGAAAUUGGUUGGCCACUAUAAUCUUUUACUUCAUUAGAGGAUCUUCACUCCCAUCCCUAGUAUAAAUGUACAGAAGCUCAAAAACUUGAUUUGUAUUUCAUUUGGCAUUAAUCUCAGCUUGUUAAGGUUUGUUGGUUAGUUGCUUUACUCCUUUUCUCAUCCAUCUUCACUCUUCCCCUUCAUUUUCUGAUAACAUGAUAGGCGGCACUUUAAUUGGGAUUGGAGCUUUAUUUCCUUUUGUUUCUUAAAUAACAAUAACAUUGGUAUGAGGAUAGGGUUCUAAGGGAUGAAAGAUUGCAAGCCGCAUGAUAGUAAGAGAUAGUAAGGCUUGUUGGAAAAUGGCAUUUGUUACUGGAUAAUUAGUGAAAGGCAUGCCAACUAUUGAUGUAUUCAUGAAUACUCCAUUGAGCUUUGGCAAUUUCUUUAAAUGCUAAUGCUAUUCCUUUCAUGGUAGAUUACUGUAUUGGUAUGUGAAAUAUGUCAUGUAUUAAGGGACUUCCUA